rnacentral:rRNA from 1 species
AACGAACGCUGGCGGCGUGGAUAAGACAUGCAAGUCGAACGGGAACUUCAGCUGUAGCAAUACAGUUGAAGUUUUAGUGGCGAACGGGUGCGUAACACGUGGGCAAUCUGCCGAGAAGUGGGGGAUAGCUCGCCGAAAGGCGAAUUAAUACCGCAUAUGAUCAGCUAAGACAUCUUAGCGACAUCAAAGCCGGGGCAACCUGGCGCUUUUUGAGGAGCCCGCGGCCUAUCAGCUAGUUGGUGAGGUAACGGCUCACCAAGGCUAUGACGGGUAGCUGGUCUGAGAGGACGACCAGUCACACUGGAACUGAGACACGGUCCAGACACCUACGGGUGCAGCAGUCGAGUAAUUUUUCUCAAGUGGGGCAACCCUGAAGGAGCGACGCCGCGUGGAGGAU